rnacentral:misc_RNA from 1 species
AUAAUGCUCUCUGGCUUCGGUCAGUUGAGUUCAAAUGAGUGCCUUCUCUUCGGAGUUGGCCAUCCAUACACACCGUGAACUGUGGCUUCGGCCAUCACAAACUGUUAGUAAUGAAUGUAAUAUCAUAACAAAAACAA